ACAACGUGGGCGAACCUCGCCCUCGCAGAUCGGGAGUAACUCCGGGAAACCGGGUAGCUAAUACCGAAUAGUUUGUCGGCCUCUCAUGAGGCUGCACGGAAAGAACGGUUUCGGUCUGUCACUGCAGGAUGGGCCCGCGGCGCAUUAGCUAGUUGGUGAGGUAACGGCUCACCAAGGCCACGAUGCGUAGCCGACCUGAGAGGGUGAUCGGCCACACUGGGACUGAGACACGGCCCAGACUCCUACGGGAGGCAGCAGUAGGGAAUCUUAGACAAUGGGCGAAAGCCUGAUCUAGCCAUG
rnacentral:rRNA from 1 species